AACGAACGCUGGCGGCAGGCUUAACACAUGCAAGUCGAACGCACCGCAAGGUGAGUGGCAGACGGGUGAGUAACGCGUGGGAACGUGCCCUUCAGUUCGGAAUAACCCAGGGAAACUUGGGCUAAUACCGGAUACGUGCGAGAGCAGAAAGAUUUAUCGCUGAAGGAUCGGCCCGCGUCUGAUUAGCUAGUUGGUGGGGUAAUGGCCCACCAAGGCGACGAUCAGUAGCNGGUCUGAGAGGAUGAUCAGCCACAUUGGGACUGAGACACGGCCCAAACUCCUACGGGAGGCAGCAGUGGGGAAUUUUGCGCAAUGGGCUAACGCCUGACGCAGCAACGCCGCGUGGAGGAUGAAGGUCCUUGGAUUGUAAACUCCUGUCAGCAGGGAAAAAGCGACUUGACCUCAUACGUCAGGGAGUUGAUUGUACCUGCAGAGGAAGCCCGGCUAACUCUGUGCCAGCCGCCGCCGUAAC
rnacentral:rRNA from 1 species